UGAGGCGUGAUGACGAGGAACCACGGUUCCGAAGUGAUUGAUACCAAGCUUCCAGGAAAAGCCACUAAGCUUCAGUCUAGAGUUGACCGUACCGCAAACCGACACAGGUGGGCAGGAUGAAAAUUCUAAGGCGCUUGAGAGAACUCAGGAGAAGGAACUCGGCAAAUUAACACCGUAACUUCGGGAGAAGGUGUGCCCCGGUAGCGUGUAGAGACUUGCUCUCGAAGCGCGAUGGGGUUGCAGUGAAAUGGUGGCUGCGACUGUUUAAUAAAAACACAGCACUCUGCAAACACGAAAGUGGACGUAUAGGGUGUGACGCCUGCCCAGUGCCGGAAGGUUAAGUGAUGGGGUGCAAGCUCUUGAUCGAAGCCCCGGUAAACGGCGGCCGUAACUAUAACGGUCCUAAGGUAGCGAAAUUCCUUGUCGGGUAAGUUCCGACCUGCACGAAUGGCGUAACGAUGGCCACACUGUCUCCUCCUGGGACUCAGCGAAGUUGAAAUGUUUGUGAAGAUGCAAUCUACCCGCGGCUAGACGGAAAGACCCCAUGAACCUUUACUGUAGCUUUGCAUUGGACUUUGAACCGGUUUGUGUAGGAUAGGUGGGAGACUGUGAAGCCGGGACGCUAGUUUCGGUGGAGUCAACCUUGAAAUACCACCCUGAUUUGUUUGAGGUUCUAACCUUGGCCCGUGAAUCCGGAUCGGGGACCGUGCAUGGUAGGCAGUUUGACUGGGGCGGUCUCCUCCCAAAAGGUAACGGAGGAGUACGAAGGUACGCUUAGGGCGGUCGGACAUCGCCCACAAAGUGCAAUGGCAAAAGCGUGCUUGACUGCGAGACCCACAAGUCGAGCAGGUACGAAAGUAGGUCAUAGUGAUCCGGUGGUUCUGUAUGGAAGGGCCAUCGCUCAACGGAUAAAAGGUACUCUGGGGAUAACAGGCUAAUUCCUCCCAGGAGUUCAUAUCGACGGGGGAGUUUGGCACCUCGAUGUCGGCUCAUCACAUCCUGGGGCUGUAGUCGGUCCCAAGGGUAUGGCUGUUCGCCAUUUAAAGUGGUACGCGAGCUGGGUUUAAAACGUCGUGAGACAGUUUGGUCCCUAUCUGCCGUGGGCGCUGGAAAUUUGAAGGGGGCUGCUCCUAGUACGAGAGGACCGGAGUGGACGAACCUCUGGUGUACCGGUUAUGACGCCAGUCGUAUCGCCGGGUAGCUAAGUUCGGAAGAGAUAAACGCUGAAAGCAUCUAAGCGUGAAACUCGCCUUAAGAUAAGAUUUCCCGGAGUCUUGAACUCCCUGAAGGGUCGUCGAAGACCACGACGUUGAU
rnacentral:rRNA from 1 species